rnacentral:rRNA from 1 species
GAUGAACGCUAGCUACAGGCUUAACACAUGCAAGUCGUGGGGCAGCAUGAAGGAAGCUUGCUUCCUUUGAUGGCGACCGGCGCACGGGUGAGUAACGCGUAUCCAACCUUCCCCUUACUAGAGGAUAGCCCGGCGAAAGUCGGAUUAAUGCUCUAUGUUGUAUUCCGAUGCCAUCAGAAGAAUACCAAAGGUUCACCGCUAUGGGAUGGGGAUGCGUCUGAUUAGGUUGUUGGCGGGGUAACGGCCCACCAAGCCUGCGAUCAGUAGGGGUUCUGAGAGGAAGGUCCCCCACAUUGGAACUGAGACACGGUCCAAACUCC